AUGGCCAUGCCGAUGGUCGUACUCGUCCGUCUCGCGGACGCGGAAGCUCGCCGGCGGCGAGAGUCCGCGGUUGGUCCACUUCCUCGCCCCGCGCUUCCUCGCGUCGUCCGAGCGGACGUGCCGCUCGCGCUCGGGGUCGCUUCUGCCGCCGGAUUUGCUGCCGGAGCCGUGUCCGGAGCUCCACAUGCGCCCCACAUGGCGGUUGGAGGCGGAAGGUGGUCGUCGGCGGCGAGAAAUGUGGAGAAGGAGGGUGGGGAAUUGCGUGGCUCGGCGGCGGUGGAUAAGGUUUCGACCCGCAAACGCGCCACGGAACCGUAG
rnacentral:rRNA from 1 species